rnacentral:rRNA from 1 species
GACGAACGCUGGCGGCGUGCUUAACACAUGCAAGUCGAACGGAAAGGCCCCUUUGGGGGUACUCGAGUGGCGAACGGGUGAGUAACACGUGAGUAACCUGCCCUUGACUUCGGGAUAACUUCAGGAAACUGGGGCUAAUACCGGAUAGGAAUCCUUGCUGCAUGGUGGGGGUUGGAAAGCUUCGGCGGUUUUGGAUGGACUCGCGGCUUAUCAGCUUGUUGGUGGGGUAGUGGCUUACCAAGGCUUUGACGGGUAGCCGGCCUGAGAGGGCGACCGGCCACAUUGGGACUGAGAUACGGCCCAGUCGCCUACGGGAGGCAGCGGGGGCGAAUAUUGCACAAUGGGCGGAAGCCUGAGGCAGCAACGCCGCGUGCGGGAUGACGGCCUGCGGGUUGUAAACCGCUUUCAGCAGGGGCGAAGCUUGUGGUGACGGUACCUGCAGAAGAAGCACCGGCUAACUACGUG